AGAGUUUGAUCCUGGCUCAGAUUGAACGCUGGCGGCAUGCCUUACACAUGCAAGUCGAACGGCAGCACGGGGGCAACCCUGGUGGCGAGUGGCGAACGGGUGAGUAAUACAUCGGAACGUGUCCUGUAGUGGGGGAUAGCCCGGCGAAAGCCGGAUUAAUACCGCAUACGCUCUACGGAGGAAAGGGGGGGAUCUUAGGACCUCUCGCUACAGGGGCGGCCGAUGGCAGAUUAGCUAGUUGGUGGGGUAAAGGCCUACCAAGGCGACGAUCUGUAGCUGGUCUGAGAGGACGACCAGCCACACUGGGACUGAGACACGGCCCAGACUCCUACGGGAGGCAGCAGUGGGGAAUUUUGGACAAUGGGCGCAAGCCUGAUCCAGCAAUGCCGCGUGUGUGAAGAAGGCCUUCGGGUUGUAAA
rnacentral:rRNA from 1 species